GACAUAGGUCGCAAACGUUAUCCGGAAUUAUUGGGCGUAAAGGAUGCGUAGAUGGUUCAAUAAGUUACUGGUGGGAAAUCGAGGCUCAACCUCGUGGAAGUCAGUAAUACUGUUGAACUUGAGUGCAGGAGAGGUUAACGGAACUUUAUGUGGAGCGGUAAAAAUGCGUAGAUAUAUGAAAAGAACAUCAAUAUGGCGAAGGCAGUUAACUAUUCUGUUACUGACGU
rnacentral:rRNA from 1 species